rnacentral:rRNA from 1 species
UUCAGACGAUGCGUCAUGCAUAUCAAUAAGCGGAGGAAAAGAAACUAACAAGGAUUCCCCUAGUAACGGCGAGUGAAGCGGGAAGAGCUCAAAUUUGAAAUCUUAAAGGGUUUCCCUUUACGAAUUGUAGUUUAAAGAAGUGUUUUCUGUUGAGGUUUUGGUAAAAGUUCUUUGGAAUAGGACAUCAUAGAGGGUGAGAAUCCCGUAUUUGACCUUUACUUUCAACUUUGUGAUACACUUUCAAAGAGUCGGAUUGUUUGGGAAUGCAGUCCAAAAUGGGUGGUAAAUUUCAUCUAAAGCUAAAUAUUGGCGAGAGACCGAUAGCGAACAAGUACCGUGAGGGAAAGAUGAAAAGAACUUUGAAAAGAGAGUUAAACAGUACGUGAAAUUGUCAAAAGGGAAGCGUUUGACACCAGUGUUGUUUUUCUGAAAAUCAAUUAAAGAACUGUUUAUGCUAAGUUGUUUAGACUUUAUCAGCUAACUGUUUAGUUUUGAGCUUUUCUUUAAUGCACUUUUCAGUUAACAAGUCAACAUCAAUUUCUUUUGCUGUAAAAAAGCUUGAGGAAGGUGGCUUGAGAUUCGUCUUAAGUGUUUAUAGCCUCUUGCCUAUGCAGUCGGAGAGAUUGAGGUCUGCAGCGUAGAUCCUUCGGGGCUAAAUGCAUUUGUGCUAAGUUAUAGCAUUUUAUAGACAACUUGUUGACUAUGAUUUGUCUUGUAGCUUACUCGCUUAUGUUAUUUUACCUACGCUUAGGAUGUUGACACACGCGCGUGCUCG